UACGGGGGGGCAAGCGUUGUUCGGAAUUACUGGGCGUAAAGGGCGCGUAGGCGGCUUUGUAAGUCGGGGGUGAAAGCCUGUGGCUCAACCACAGAAUUGCCUUCGAUACUGCAUGGCUUGAGACCGGAAGAGGUAAGUGGAACUGCGAGUGUAGAGGUGAAAUUCGUAGAUAUUCGCAAGAACACCAGUGGCGAAGGCGGACUUACUGGUCCGGUUCGUGACGCUGAGGCGCGACAGCGUGGGGAGCAACAGG
rnacentral:rRNA from 1 species